AUCCACAGCCAUACCACCCUGAACCCUUGAGAUCUGAUCUCAGAAGUUAAGCAGGGCCAGGCCAGGUUAGUACCUGGAUGAAAAAUUCAGGGUGGUGUAGGAU
rnacentral:rRNA from 1 species